rnacentral:rRNA from 1 species
GCCCAGAUCGUUUACCGUGAAGAAAUUAGAGUGUUCAAAGCAGGUGACUUACAACCUGGCGGUCAGCCUCAAAAGGGUUGGCCGUCAGGCACCACGAUGAAUACAUUAGCAUGGGAUAACGGAAUACGACCCUGUCUUUGUUCUGUUGGUUCCUUCGAAGAUGGGGUAAUGAUUAAUAGGGAUGGUCGGGGGCAUUAAUAUUUAAUUGUCAGAGGUGAAAUUCUUGGAUUCAUGAAAGAUUAACUUCAGCGAAAGCAUCUGCCAAGGACGUUUUCAUUAAUCAAGAACGAAAGUUAGG